ensembl:lncRNA
GUACACACAGAGCUGGGUUGGGAGAAGCAGCAUUAGAAAGUGUUAUUCCCAUUUAGUAAUUAUGCCUUGAUUGUUGUUUAUAUGUUUGCUCUACUGUAACUUGCUUGCCUUAGGGUGGCACUAGUGCUAGAGAAAAGACAAAAGUAAUUUAGUUUUAAAGGGGAAAUGAAAGUUUUAAAGUAGUUUAACGUUUCAGUAGAACUGUAAUGAUUGGAGAUGACUGGAUUGUGUCGAUAAAGAGUACUAAUUUCAAUAGUAACUCAUGCCUUAAUUCUCCUCACAGCAAACAGCCUCCCUCGCUCCUUUGUGGUAUGCAAUGUACUCUUUACAUCACAGUCAACGAUAUCUGGGAGGAAAAAAGAAAUACAUUUUCGUUUUUAUUCCUCAGAAGCUUCACAAAGACCAAAUUUCCACAGAGCUGUUAUUUACUCCUAUGUAAAUGGCACUGGCUCUGUAAUGAGGUGUAAUCACCAACACAGAGUUCACAAUCUCUUUCUCUUGCUUAGAUUUACCACCCCAUUUCUCCUCUGGUGUCCAUGACCUCAGCAGAGUUAGAAUGUGAUGUCUUGUGCUGAUGUCAGUGACCACAUCAAAAGCCAGUGUUCUCUGCAGAGAAGCCAAGAACAUGAAACAACCUUGCAAGAGCUGGGAGCCACAGGAAUGCACUGGCUGAGUGGAGACUUCCUGCAGGACUUCUCUGCAGGCACUUAUACCCCUGUACAUCAGCAGAACUUCCACACAUGGCAUGGGUGGGCAUACUGGUCACCUAGUCUGCAGGACUUCACAAUUCCUCAGGCCCUGCAGAAGUGCAGUUCCCUGACAGACAGCCACCUCAUGCCUCCUAUAGCUACGCAAGGCACAAGUGAGAACAUGCACCAUGCCCAUACCUACACUGCAGGAAACAGCAGCUAUAAUAAGCUUAAGGGAAAAUGAAAUAUGUCAAGGAAGAUCAAACAGUUGCAGCAGUCAAACCCCACACCAGACACACAGGACCAUACCCUGAUACAUAGCCAAGAAUCAGACAAAGAAAAAUGAGUUGUCAAGAAACUGAUUCUACUGAAGAGACUCCUCCUGGAGCUGGACAUCUGGGUGCUUCGCAUGCCAACGUUAAAUCAUCAGUCAGUUGUUUUUGGUGGGGAAACAGGAGUAAAUUUCACACUGCCAGUACUGGGACGGGUGGGCACCUGCAGAAUCACUCACGUGCCACAACCAUGCUGCCAGCUCUGCCCCAAACGCCUGCUCACUGCUGAGGGGACAGGGCCAUAGCAGUGCCCUUGCAGUUAGCUUGCCUCAAAACAUUUUCUGGCUGCUUCCUGAGCUAAAGCUCAUUUGUGUGGUUAAGGAAAACACCAGUGAAAAUGAUCAUUGUACUGGAUGAGACCAAACCAAUAUCCUGAGACAGGCAGAAGAGCUCCAGGCCAGCUCCUUGACCCUCUGUGUCCUCUCAUUUUCAAGACCAUUCUGGCUUUUCGAAUGUUUUCAAGGCCUUAAGGAAGGUACUUUUAAGGACAGGAAAUUUCCAGACAAUUAAACUGCAUGCACGAACAUUCUGCAGAAAAUUUUGCAGUGAAAUUAUCUUGUAAGCCCAUGUUUUUCAUCUCCAGAAUAAAAUGCUGAAGAAUUUUCA